AUACUCGGGCUUCUCUCCAAUCAUAUAAAUCUUUUGCCUUUUACUAAAGAUUUCCGUGGAGAGAAACAACUGAAUCAUAAACAUGUGAAACUUGGUAAAUGGUCUGUAAAGCUAGUG